rnacentral:rRNA from 1 species
UACGGGAGGCAGCAGUGGGGAAUAUUGCACAAUGGGCGCAAGCCUGAUGCAGCCAUGCCGCGUGUAUGAAGAAGGCCUUCGGGUUGUAAAGUACUUUCAGUCGUGAGGAAGGUGUUAAGGUUAAUAACCUUAGCAAUUGACGUUAGCGACAGAAGAAGCACCGGCUAACUCCGUGCCAGCAGCCGCGGUAAUACGGAGGGUGCGAGCGUUAAUCGGAAUUACUGGGCGUAAAGGGCACGCAGGCGGUUAAUUAAGUUGGAUGUGAAAUCCCCGGGCUUAACCUGGGAAUGGCAUUCAAGACUGGUUAGCUAGAGUCUUGUAGAGGGGGUAGAAUUCCAUGUGUAGCGGUGAAAUGCGUAGAGAUGUGGAGGAAUACCGGUGGCGAAAGGCGGGCCCCCUGGACAAAAGGACUGACGCUCAUGUGCGAAAGCGUGGGGAGCAAACAGGGAUUAGAUACC